UUCAGGUGUUCACUGAUGCGGGUCAGUAUGUAAUCCGAUUCGGGAGCGCUGCUGCUACUAAAGGCAUAUCAGAACUUUCUAAAAAGGUUCAAGAAUUUGAAGUGGCGCAUCCGCUGACAUUGUCAGAGAGGGCUGUAACCGUUGCACUCGCGAUAUCGUUGGAUAAUGAUAAUUUUUCCAGACAUGGAGGCUGGGGAAUUCCUUUCUUUGCAGUUGCUGAAUGAGGACAUUUGCUUCAAAUUUUUUAGUCUGCUGAAAAUCUUGGACAUUCGUAGUUUGUGUUACGGUUUUGUUGAUAGAAAUUAUAUCUAUAUGUAGCAGUUACUUUGGAACAAAUUUCUACAAUGUGUCGAAUCAUCACCUUGGCGGAAAAUUUAAUAUACUCGAGAACGCUUCAUAUCUCUUCAA